UACACUCCUGCGGGAGGCAGCAGUGGGGAAUAUUGGACAAUGGGCGCAAGCCUGAUCCAGCCAUGCCGCGUGAGUGAUGAAGGCCCUAGGGUUGUAAAGCUCUUUCACCGGUGAAGAUAAUGACGGUAACCGGAGAAGAAGCCCCGGCUAACUUCGUGCCAGCAGCCGCGGUAAUACGAAGGGGGCUAGCGUUGUUCGGAUUUACUGGGCGUAAAGCGCACGUAGGCGGACUAUUAAGUCAGGGGUGAAAUCCCGGGGCUCAACCCCGGAACUGCCUUUGAUACUGGUAGUCUUGAGUUCGAGAGAGGUGAGUGGAAUUCCGAGUGUAGAGGUGAAAUUCGUAGAUAUUCGGAGGAACACCAGUGGCGAAGGCGGCUCACUGGCUCGAUACUGACGCUGAGGUGCGAAAGCGUGGGGAGCAAACAGGAUUAGAUACCCCGGUAGUCCCAUGAU
rnacentral:rRNA from 1 species